rnacentral:rRNA from 1 species
UACGGUCUCAGUUCAGAUUGCAGGCUGCAACUCGCCUGCAUGAAGUUGGAAUUGCUAGUAAUCGCGAAUCAGAAUGUCGCGGUGAAUACGUUCCCGGGCCUUGUACACACCGCCCGUCACACCAUGAGAGUCGAUAACACCCGAAGCCUGUGAGCUAACCUUUUAGGAGGCAGCAGUCGAAGGUGGGGUUGAUGAUUGGGGUGAAGUCGUAACAAGGUAUC